CUUGGUCAUUUAGAGGAAGUAAAAGUCGUAACAAGGUUUCCGUAGGUGAACCUGCGGAAGGAUCAUUAUUGAAAUUAUAGGCGAGGGUUGUAGCUGGCCUCUCGGGGCAUGUGCACGCCUGAGCCCUUAAUCCACACACACCUGUGAACCUAUUGUAAGGGCCCUUAAAAAAGGCCUUUACGUCUUUAUCACCUACCCGAAGUCUCAUAGAAUGUAAACAUAUGUCCUCGCCUUAAAAAAGCGUUGAUAAAAUUUAUACAACUUUCAACAACGGAUCUCUUGGCUCUCGCAUCGAUGAAGAACGCAGCGAAAUGCGAUAAGUAAUGUGAAUUGCAGAUUUUCAGUGAAUCAUCGAAUCUUUGAACGCACCUUGCGCUCCUUGGUAUUCCGAGGAGCAUGCCUGUUUGAGUGUCAUUAAAUUCUCAAACUCUGAUUGAUUUGUUUCAAUCGAGCUUUGGAUUUGGAGCGUGCCGGCGUCAGUCGGCUCCUCUUGAAUGCAUCAGCGGAAUCCCAUUCAUUUCGGACGUCAGUGUGAUAAUCAUGUUGUGCUGUCUUUACGAUCUUGAAAGCCCGCUCACAAUGGUCUUCGGACAAACCUCACUAUCAUAUUUGACCUCAAAUCAGGUAGGACUACCCGCUGAACUUAAGCAUAUCAAUAAGCGGAGGA
rnacentral:rRNA from 1 species